rnacentral:lncRNA from 1 species
GAUGGUAAACGUUUUUCCGUGUUAAAUGAAAUCGACUGAUUCAAGCGCCUUCGAUCAUUACUGGAUACAAUGUUCGGAAACGACAAAAUGUUGUACAAUACGAGCGAGUCUUCCUUGAGUUGGGCUGACGAGAAUCGUACUGUUAACGCAUCCGAGUUGUACGAAUUACUCUAGGCUCGCCUACCUAAGGCUCAUCCACUUAAAGUCGGCGACUUAAUGAUUGCAAUUGAAUCUCUUGAUCUUCCUCUUUCUAGAGGACAUAAAAACCUGCGCAGAUUUGGACGUUUACCGGCAUGUUUUGGAUGUAAAUGGAUCCCAACUCAACUAUCAAAUACAAACAGAAACACUGGAAAACAUAUGGAAAGAAGAGACAACAAGAAAGAAAAAUAAUAAGUCAGGAAGGAAAAAGUAUAUGACCCCCCACCCGGGAAAUUGAAUGAAAUGGAGAACUGCAGCUAAUGCGACUAUUGUCAUGGAAAACUACGUCAGCAGUGCGUGCUGAGUUUGUCUUUAUUUUGCCCAUAAGGUAACUUUUGUAUUGAAUUAUGUCUAAUUUAUUUUAUAUUGUCAAAUGUAUUAUUAUUUUAUAUGUCAAGUUUUCUUUUGAUUUUAACUGCAUCUCAUUUAGCAGUAAUAAGGUUGAAACAUUAGAGGGAGUAGAGAAAAUUGACGUUAAACCGGUUUUAAAAAUGUCGAGCACGGAAUAAGCGAACGAUUUUACUUGACAGUUCGCUUGAAACGAUCUUUGAUUAUCUACUGUUAUGGACCUAAAUGUAUAAAAUACGUCUCGUUCGGGAAGUAUUGCAGUGAUCAGUGCGGGUUAAAAUUGGCCAUAACUCGUAGAUAGCAGGCUAACUUAUCCCAUUUGAAAGGUUUCGGGAAAAAAAGAUUUGAAGGUAAGUCCUGUCAAUAUUUUCCCGCAGCGCAUUCAAGAACGGGAUUUAACACCUUGCAUAGCUAUAGAAAACAAUAAGAAAUAAUUAAUAUCACAUUUAUAAGCAGCGAAACGAACCACGGGAAGUUCUGAUAGAGCUGGAUCUUAGUCAAAACGUUCCCUUUCAUCGUGGAGUUAAAUUAUUUUUAGUUUUUUUUUGUUUCCCAUUGGUGAUGUGUUACUUGGUAAAAGAAAACUCAUCAGGAAGUCAGGAACUGGGCAUAACUAUAGCAUAGGCUAACAAAUUAACGAUUCAUAGAAGUUGAGGAAGAAGCAAUGAGUUAGGUUAAUGACACUGAUGUGCGCGGAUAUCCUUAAGUACGGGAAGUCUUUGAAGAAACUGAUGACAGAAUUUGACUGCCAUGACACAGCGAGGUGUCCUUUUACGAGUUAGACUUCAGUCAACUUCCAACCAUGAAUUGAUGCAGUAGCAAUACUCCGGACACACUACUGAAAGAACACACACACGGCAGAGAUCAUUGCAACCAAUAAGAACGUCUUUAAAAUCACAUUUGUACAUAUACUAUUUCCCUCGUUAUCUGCUGUUUUAUGCGACUGCCAAUUAAUGCUCUGGUGUCACUUUUCCCAUGACUGAAGUUGAGCAAUUCCUUGUAACUCGCGUUGGUUGUAUAUUAGGAUAACAGAUGGCGCGACUGCGCCUCUGUCUUUGUUUUGUGUGUGACAAGUGAAACCACGUUUGAAUAUUUGUGAACUAUGUUACAUUCCAUUGAUAAGUUAGAUAAAAUUAAAUUGUGUGAUUGCAACUAUUGAGUGUUUCAUUCAUUCCUGUGUUUUUGGAGUGAGAAAAAUCAAGUGGGCUAUUUUGUGUGCAACGGGUAAACUUGUGAUCAGCUAUGCCAGCUGCCAGAUUCAAACUAUUACUUUUACAUUCCCAUCAUGCUAUUCUAUUUCACGUUGAGAGAAAAAGUUGAUGAAACCUAAAUAGCAAAAGAACUGUGAGGAAAGGCUAGAAAUGACACAAACCAUAUGAGUUGGAAAACCAUCAUGACAAUAACGUCUUUCUGCUACUCUUUACUCAUUCAUCAUGUCCUCUCAGUUUUGAUCUGAAAGUGCAAUUUCAACAAUCUUCUCGUCAUUUCUACUUAGCCUAUCAAGUGGCAGGAUUUUUAGUUGCAAGCUCAUGUAUCUAAAAUGAAAAGAAUGCUGGCCUCGAAGGAAGAUCUCCAACAAUGCAAAAUCCUUGAAUUGGAAUACCUCAAGUCUUUCUAUACUCUUUGCCCACUCAUCAUCUCAUGUAAUUUUUAAUCUGCCAACACAUCUCUUCGCCUUGCCCGUCACCCAGUCUUGGCUUCGCCCGUCGCUCCGUCUUGGCUUCGCCCGUCGCUCCGUCUUGGCUUCGCCCGUCGCUCCGUCUUGGCUUCGCCCGUCGCUCCGUCUUGGCUUCGCCCGUCGCUCCGUCUUGGCUUCGCCCGUCGCUCCGUCUUGGCUUCGCCCGUCGCUCCGUCUUGGCUUCGCCCGUCGCUCCGUCUUGGCUUCGCCCGUCACCCCAUCUUCACUUCACCCGUCGUCUCGUCUUCGCCUCUUGGUCACCCCCUCUUCACUUCACCGCCUCGUCUUUGUGGUAUCGUUGAAUUUAGUAAUGUGUAAUUGUGUAUUGUUAAUUAACCCGUUGGCUGCCACCCUCUUUGAUCCCCCUUUUUUUUAAAGCUUGUUAGGGUCCGGCAGCGCUGUUCUACUCAAUGGUCUAUAUGCCAUGGGUGGGACAGUUGCACAAGCCGUGUGGCUCAAAGUCGAUCGUCGAGGCAAUGUACCAGUAGGGACUUUCCCUUUUUCGAUGCUUUGAUAGUUGUCUGGAGUGUACAUUCUCACAAAGGCUUCUGUCAUCGUGUCAGCCCGGAUUUGUCGUAGGACAAGUCCCCCUUGGUCGCUAUCCAUUAGAUAGCGAUGUAGCUAGCGUAGAUUUAGUGGCGUGGCAGCCAACGGGUUAGUUUUAUUUAUGUAGGUUUUGUAUUGUGUUGUAUUGUAUUGCAAAAUGUAAAAAUUUGUGGUG